UUGCACGCUGGCGGCAGGCCUAACACAUGCAAGUCGCGCGGAUGAAGGGAGCUUGCUCCUGGAUUCAGCGGCGGACGGGUGAGUAAUGCCUAGGAAUCUGCCUGGUAGUGGGGGAUAACGUCCGGAAACGGGCGCUAAUACCGCAUACGUCCUGAGGGAGAAAGUGGGGGAUCUUCGGACCUCACGCUAUCAGAUGAGCCUAGGUCGGAUUAGCUAGUUGGUGGGGUAAAGGCCUACCAAGGCGACGAUCCGUAACUGGUCUGAGAGGAUGAUCAGUCACGCUGGAACUGAGACACGGUCCAGACUCCUACGGGAGGCAGCAGUGGGGAAUAUUGGACAAUGGGCGAAAGCCUGAUCCAGCCAUGCCGCGUGUGUGAAGAAGGUCUUCGGAUUGUAAAGCACUUUAAGUUGGGAGGAAGGGCAGUAAGUUAAUACCUUGCUGUUUUGACGUUACCAACAGAAUAAGCACCGGCUAACUUCGUG
rnacentral:rRNA from 1 species